rnacentral:rRNA from 1 species
GAUGAACGCUGGCGGCGUGCCUAACACAUGCAAGUCGAGCGGCAGCGAGGGGUGCUUGCACCCUGUCGGCGAGCGGCGGACGGCUGAGUAACGCGUGGGAACGUGCCCCAAAGUGAGGAAUAACUGCCCGAAAGGGUAGCUAAUACCGCAUAUUAUCUUCGGAUCAAAGGAUUUAUCCGCUUUGGGAGCGGCUCGCGUCGGAUUAGGUAGUUGGUGAGGUAAUGGCUCACCAAGCCGACGAUCCGUAGCUGGUCUGAGAGGAUGACCAGCCAGACUGGAACUGAGACACGGUCCAGACUCCUACGGGAGGCAGCAGUGAGGAAUCUUCCACAAUGGGCGAAAGCCUGAUGGAGCAACGCCGCGUGCAGGACGAAGGCCUUCGGGUUGUAAACUGCUUUUAUAAGUGAGGAAUAUGACGGUAACUGAUGAAUAAGGAGCGGCUAACUACGUG